rnacentral:rRNA from 1 species
CGCGUGCGGGAAGAAGGCCUUCGGGUCGUAAACCGCUUUCAGCAGGAACGAAAAUGACGGUACCUGCAGAAGAAGGUGCGGCCAACUACGUGCCAGCAGCCGCGGUGACACGUAGGCACCAAGCGUUGUCCGGAUUUAUUGGGCGUAAAGAGCUCGUAGGCGGUUCAGCAAGUCGGGUGUGAAAACUCUGGGCUUAACCCAGAGCCUGCACUCGAAACUGCUGUGACUAGAGUUCGGUAGGGGAGCGGGGAAUUCCUAGUGUAGCGGUGAAAUGCGCAGAUAUUAGGAGGAACACCGGUGGCGAAGGCGCCGCUCUGGGCCGAUACUGACGCUGAGGAGCGAAAGCGUGGGUAGCAAACAGGAUUAGAUACCCUGGUAGUCCACGCCGUAAACGUUGGGCACUAGGUGUGGGUCUCUAACCAACGAGAUCCGUGCCGUCGCUAACGCAUUAAGUGCCCCGCCUGGGGAGUACGGUCGCAAGACUAAAACUCAAAUGAAUUGACGGG